GUCGACGUCUGGCAGUUGUCAGGAAGUUGCAUUCAGUUUACACGAGAAAGGAAGAAGUGUAAAAGCACGGAUGCGUGGAAAACGGGGCGAUCUCCAUGUGGAGAUCAUUUUCCAACAUAUUUUACAUUACACGUUGCCGAACAAAAUUAUUUCUAUGAGACAACUUUUAAGAAACGAAUAUGUAGAAUUACAUAUAUACUGUCGCGAAAGACUGGCGAGAAGAUUAUUGGAACUAUUAAAAAUUAUACUAUGCUCGAGAGAAUUAGACAAUCUUCGGUAAUUAAUUCUAUUAAAAUGAUAAAGAAAAUUCCAUUAAAAUGAUCCUGUUGUACCGAGUAAUGUAUCAGAGGCGAACAUGUUUUGUGCGCGUGAUAAAUUGAUAACGUUAACACGAAGUCAACAUUCGUACGAUAUUACAGGGAAGAUCGACUUUAAGACAAUCGUUAAACAAAAGUACACGAACGAUACGAUUAACCAAUAAAAAUUUCGUUUAGAACGAGAUCGUUUGACCAACCGAGAUACGUUCAACUUUGAAACACGACAAUUAAUAAAAGAGUAAGAAUCAUCGAGAACUUUAAACAGUACAAACGUUUGUCCCUCGGUUAAAGGAGAAGUUACAAAAGGACAGAGCAGCAUAGACUCGUAAGAAACUUCCAUUGCGCCUGAUAAAACAAAUCUCAAAUGAUGAAACAUUUAAAUUUAAAGCGUGAAAUGCAAGAAGAUGACUUUGUGUUUCCUAUUGUUUGGCACAUAAUUAAAUCGUAUUGUACGUAUCACUGUGGCACUAUACGUGAAACUGUGUUGCAGUGGGAUAGUAUCGAUUACCUGGGCGCAGGAUAUUUAUGGAUGUUCUAUUAUAGCACCGAACGUUAGAAUUACGUAUGGAACGUUCACGUGUAGUAUAUAGUUCAGGUGUAGUAUAUAGUUUACGUGUAGUAUACACCAUUCUACGUUGGUGAAAAAAAAAGUGUUCUCUACUAGUGUCAUAUUUAUUUUUAUCGUCCUUUUCUGCGAUAACACGUGACAGAUAUUUGAAGCGCCUCGGUGACCGUGUAAUUCAGCCGUAAGUGAAAUAGGUUCGUAAAGAUCAGACACGACGGCAACUGUACGUAAUUCGGUAACCAAGUCGUAGUAUCUUUAUUAUACAGUGAUUGUCUACACAGUCGUUGCAAUUACUAAUUUUGUGAAAUUCACAGACAGUUGCGUUACGAUCUUUCGUAAUAUAAACAAGCUCCUAAGCUAAAAAAUAGAAUAUAUAAUGGUGUGUUUAUCGAAAACACCAGUCAUUUUCCUAAAUAUAAUCCUCCUUCCGUCUUCUAACUUGCGAUAUAUCUAUUACUAUGCAACGAAAUCUCGGUUCGCUUCUCGCUAACGCUUAUAAACUAAUAUAGGGGGGACAAUUAUUUAACGGGAGAAACUAAACGAGUUAAUUGACACCAAUUAAGACUUCGCCGAAAUAAGUGGGAUUUUACAACAGUUCGCUCUUCUUCUACGUAUCAAAUCGUCUCAAGUAAGUAACACAAAUAACUUUCAGCUGCUCCAAUUUCCAGUAAAAAAAAAAAAAAAAUAACAAAGCUCGACGAUAUUCAGUAGCUUCGUCGAUAAAAUUCUUCUGUCAUAUGAAACACAGGUAAUUCUCGAAAACUUGAAAGAAAUUCAGCUUCCAUCGACAAUAACGAAUAUGGCUAAAGUUUCUUGAUAAGUAUCACGAAACUCAGACGAUUCGUCAAAAAAGUUCUUUCGUAAUAAGAUUGGCUCAAAAACUUGCCAAUAAGAAUUACGUAAUUCAAAAGAUUCGUCGAUAAAAUUCUUUGCUAAUAUAAAACGGAUAUGACCGUCGAGAAAUUUCAUGCAUAAAAACAACAAAGUUCAUCGUUCUUAGAAGUCGUAGCAACGUGUUUCCCUUUUGUACAUACAACACGAAUAAUUCUAAAAAAACUGAUACAAUUUCGUCUAAGAACAUUAAAGAUCAACUACGAAGCACCAAGUCCGAACGAUUUGUCAACAAAACUUCUUUCUUCACAUAAAACACGAAUAAUCCUGGGAAAAUAGAUCCAGGCUUUGAAAACAACAAGGUUUAUCCCUGUGAUUUCGAUUGCUUUGGAUCGACACGAUGGGUAGCGGUCCGCGGAGAGGUCAGCGAUGGUAAACGGUGUCGAUUAUAGGCGAGCCUGUUGUGGUGGUGGCAGUGUAGCAUGACUGGUAGCCGAUAUAUCUGUAUACGUGUCCGUCCCAGCCGCCCGUGACCACGUGGCCUUGUCCUUGUACGACGUCGACGUCGAGCGUUCCGUGCCACCGACACCCGUCGUCGGUCGCCGUGGAACCUUCCUACGACGAGCCGCGGCGGAGAGAAGAGAGAUGUCCCAGCUCAGCUCGCGUGUGCGCCCGAGCUUCUCGCUCUUCGCAUAUAAAUGCACACGGCCAAUACAUGUAUAGAUAGGAAUGUGUGCUCGUGAACGCGUUUACGUGGAGCAAAGGCGCCGUUUAACGCGGAAUUACGAGGUAAUUCGUCUCUUGCCAACCGGCAACUGCGUCACCCGUAACUGUAAAUCUUCUACCUAUCGAUUCGAUGCAACCUUGGACAGCGGCUAAUUGAGAGGUUUAGAGGAAACGUGGUGCGAGUGAUCGAAUCUUUAACUCGAGGAUGACGCGAGUAAAGGAUUCGAUAGGGCGAUCAUUUCACAAAUUUCCGUGGAUUUAUUAAUUACUUCUAAAGGAUUUAUAUCUUCGUCUACCAUCAGAGAGCUCGUAUAUGAAUUAUAAUAAUUAUAUCAAAUGAAAUAUACAUGAUACCUUAUUGGCACUUUAUUUCCUUAGAACACGAUUAAUCCGAAAUAUAUGCAUCUAGAAAUAACUCGAUGAUUCUAAAGCAAAUUUUAUCUGAAACAGUGGACGCGUUAUGAAUUUAUUCUUUCACGAGCUUUGCUCCCACGUGUACGUACGUAUAUAUGAGAGGAACAUGUAUAUAUUCUGAUAGAAAAAAAAUGUUGUAAAAACUAUAUAAGAAUAAAAAUAAGAAACAGAGUCGA